rnacentral:lncRNA from 1 species
GGGCAGCCCCAGGUUGGGGUGUCGGUGCUGAGAGGUGGCCCAGGGCAAGUGCUGAGCAGAGAUGGGAUCAGGGGCUGAUUGCACUGGCCUGUUCUGCUUGCUGGGAGUGUCCCCUGGACUUGGCUUCGGGGAAGGCUGCCAGCCUGGAGCCACAGGCUUCCCUCUGGGUCGGGCCGUGUUUGGCAAGCCCUGCUUGGAUGGCUUCAAGGUCUGUGAAAUCUCUGCACCUGGGCCGCUCUGCUUGCUGGCUGCGCCCCAGCUCCUUGGCCAAUUUGUGCCCGUUGGGACUCUGCUGAGGGUGGAGGGGGUGUGGGGAGAGAUACACUUGCCUUACCCCAGGUCGCCAUGACCUGUGGCAGUUUUUCUGAGCCACCCGCCUUAAUCCUGGAGGGCAACAGGAAGAAGGAACCUCCUUUUAAACCCAGGUUGUUCCGUUCAGUGUGCGGGAGGACUGGUCCUGUGCGUGUGGAGCCCUUUCCUGCCCGUGCCUGCAGCCGCCGCCCUAACAGUCCCUGUUCAGAGAAGCAGCAAUGCAGAGCUGGUUGUUCUCACACCACAGACAAGAAAAUUGAAGCCAAGGAACCUCUCCAAACCACCUAGUUUAUUUGUGGCAAAACAUUGUGGCUCCUAAUAAGUGGGUUUUUAACCACACAGAAGAAAUGGCAUUUCUUCUACUGUUUUUCGAGUUAACAGAAUCCCUUUCUUAGGGAUGAGAGUUGAACACCACCACAACUGUGGGACCUAGAAUUUUUCUCCUUUUACAGAUGAAGAAAUAGAGGCUUAGACAAAAUGACUCGCCCCAAAUUAUACAGCUAGUCAGUGGCCAAGCCCACCCAUUCUGAUAGUGCUGUGCUUACCACUGGUGGUUGGCGUUAACAGUCUAGGUUGCUGCCUAUCCUCUUUUCUAAAACUGUUCCGCAGCUGUUUCUCUCCUCUUUACAGUGUAAUCAUUCUACUUAACCUUCUUCCAGACUUCUGGAAUAUAUCCUGUGAGGUUUGAAAGAAAACACACAAAAGCCAGCUUCUCUCUCCCUGACCCCACCCCCCAUUCCAUGGGGAAAAAAAGAAAGCCGACUUCAGGCUCAUUCCUCUCUGGCUGCUCUGAAGGACUCUGGGCUGGCUCCUGGGCAAGGUUACCCGCUGCCCAGCUUGGGGCCGAGUGGCCUGUUUGUUGUUUGCUGGCCACACGGCAGGGUCUGUGUCCACAGCCCAUCUUCUUGUGCUACAACUGAACCUGCAGUCAAGUGCGAGCCAGUGAUUGCCAUCAGGGGAGGCCCAGGUGCUGGACGGAGGGGCCGGGUGUGUGCUUUUUCACCCUGAGCUUCACCGCGGUUUUGGUUGUACACUGUCGUCUGUGUCUGGCGAGGCCUUCAUUGGGUGCUCGCCCAGAGCACGGAGGCAGGGUCUCACUUGACUCUCCCGUCCUGCAGACGGUCUCAGGAGUUGCUCAGCUUUCUUACGUCCUUUGUGCCUGGGGGAGGCCAGCACCCAGGAGGAGAGCACGCCUUCCACCCAAUAUGGAAGGUGGCAUACGCCUGAGGAACUCAGGAAAGCUGAGAGCACCUCAAAACGAGACAGGGUGAGGCUGGCGAAGGGGAGACCGACCACACACCCUUCUGUCAGCUAUUUUAAAGGGUUGUACUUACUUGUUGUAUGUGGUUCCAGAUGAGAAAAGAUAGUUAAAGCCCGAUUGGGCAAUUUGAGCUAACAUGUGCCUCGCACGGGGUGUGGCGAGAAGGGAGCCCGUGGCACCGGCAGUGUUUACGCCGGAAGCCAGCUGUUCAGAUGGCGCAGAGGAGGUCCUUCCACAGGAUGUUGGUCUGCACAGAACGCUGCUGUGAUCAUUGACCCUGCCAAGGCCAUGUCUCCCUUCUCUGGACACACGGAUGUAACAAACAUUUGUUGUCACCUGCCACCAGCCAGGCUGUGCUGGGUGAGGAGGGGUAGUUGAAGAAAAUGCCAGACGGAAGGGUGAAAGUGUUAGAUUACUAGGAAAUUAGCUUGGGGCCUUAGUUUUCUGUCUGUGCUGCCACCUUUGGCUCUGAACAGGUGGGCAGGGGACCCGCAGAGGGUUAGGUGGGUUUCUGAACGUUUGUAUUUCUAUGGCUCUGUCGGGGCAGCAGCGGUUUUGAGCCUUUAGGUCAGAGCCCUGAGGUUAGGGUGCGCUGAGACACUGAGCCCGUCCACCUCUGGGAGGACCAGGUGUCUCUAACUAGGAGUGGUCUUGUCUCAAGCCCUUUGGGCCACACAAACAUCACCAAGUGUGUCAUAGUGUGGAAAUCUCUGGGAGCACUGCCUUAGACCUGGUGUCGCUAAACUUUGUGAAAAGGUCCCAGUAGUAAAUCUUUCAGGCUGUGGGGCCUGUUGGCUCUGUCACAGCUACUCCACUUUGUUGUCGUGGCCCCAGAGCAGCAGGCAAGUGUGGCUGUGAACCAACAGCUUUAUCCCGGACGGGGAGUGGGCCUCUGGCUUAACGUGGCCUGGGCGCUUCCUCCCAUCUGUCUUCCUUGAGCACCUGUCCUGUGAGCAGUGGGGGAGGAGGGUGCAUGCUCGCCCAGGACCUCAGGUAUGGAGGGUGGGGUGGGCACUGUUGGGGCCCAGGGGAGAGGAAGCCAGGGCUGAACUGGGAGAGCCCCAGGAGGAGGCAGCUCCAGAGCCCGGGCUCCGUCCUCUGGGCCAGUGGCAGCUUGUGCUCAGGUUUGGAAAGAUGCUCGGGGCAGGGAAAGACCAGGUUUGUGGUUACAGGUGGUUCAGUUCCGCCUGGGUUUUUUAGCCAAGGCGUUGGUUACUGUUGGUCCACGAGUGGGAAGGAGACCUGGAGAAUUGGGUGGCUUUUCUGGCUACUGGGCUCCAGUGAGCACCACACGUUUUUUGAGUGGGCACAAUCUGCCAGCUUCACGCCUUUUCUCACUUGCUCUCCAAAGACAGCUGAAAAGGGCAGGACGAUGAAACCUGUCUCGGGUCUCCUUUGGCAUGGGGCCCAGGGCUUUGGCGUAUGAGAGUGAAAACCGCUAGGGAUGGGCUUCUCCUUGCUUCAGGAUGGAGUCACACAUCAGGAAGGCUUUAUGGUGCGGCCAGCAGCUGGACAGGCCUUCAGGGAAGUAGAACUGAAGCCUGUGACCUGCUGGGGCAGGUGCCCGUAGCACAGGCUGCGUGGGUGCGGCCCCCGGGCAGGGCUCCAUGGAGGUGGGCGGUGCUCUCUGCUUCCCGCGGCACCUCCCCUAGAGAUGCUUCUAGGCAGUGGACCGAGUACCUAUGAGGUGAGGUUCCAGGGACACGAACCAUGACAUUCUCAUUUAACUAACAUAGAGGGAAGUCGAGCAGGGUGGUGUCGGCGCUGGCUUCCUGUGCCCGUGGAAGGGGGCUGGAGAAAGACCUGUCCUGAGUGCCGGCAGCUCUGAGAGAGACGGGGAGGCACUUGCCAGAGGCCCUGCCGCUGGGAGGUUCAUCUGCGGCCUCCCCGGGGCCUGUGUGAGGGUGAGCGGUUUGGUGCUGCCCUGGGCCCUUGGGGGAGCUGCCGCCAGUGCCGAGUGCCGCCGUCGGGCUUGUCCUCACCAAGCCUCCGGCGAAAGCUGUGAAGGGUCGUGUUUGGCUCUUUUGCUCUUGGGGAUCUGGGGCCUUUGGGCUUUAUUGCCUUGGCUGUGCUGUGCUGUAGCUGCGUCACCUUCCAUCUCUCAGGAGUACCACUGUGUCUUCUAGAGGUUUCUGGGCUCAGGGAAGGGAAAGAACCAAGGAAGGCCCAGCCCAGACGAAGCCUUUUCUCAGGCUGCUCGGUCUGCACUGCGGCCCUGGCCUCACGGGAGGCACCUUAGUUGCUUCUGGAGCUUGAGCCUGGCCCUUGCCCUGUCCCAGCCCAGAACUGCGAGCCUGAGCCUGCUUGUCUCAUUCCCCUGCUGAGGGAGGGAGACAGUGCUCCGAAAGGGGUUCUUGGUUCUGACCCAAACAGUUCUGCUGCUCUGGAAAUGAAUCGUGGAUCAGGAGAGGCGUUGUAGGCGCUUGAAAAGCUGCCUUUCCGCUUGUGGUUUAUGAGCAAAGCCAGCCUUCUCUCUGGCCAGCCUCUCCCCUCCCUCACAGACACCUCAGGGCUUGAGGACUUUGGUUGGGGUGGGGGUCAGUGGCGAGACACACUCCUUUCCUUGACCUCCUGUCACCCCGUGAGCCUUGAGUCCUUCACCUCACCAGCUCCCUUGGCUGGGGCCCUGACCCCGAGCCCAUGCUGAUGGCCGCACCCAGGUUCAGCCAGGUUCCCGGGGUAGCGUUUCUCCCCGACCUCGGCAGCCUUGUCUGGUCAGGCAGGGUGCACACUGCACCCUUACUUUGCAGAGGGGACACCGAAUGCCGCUUGUCCCCUCGCCCACUUAGUGUGGUGGCUUCUCAAAUGGCUCCUGACCAGGGCCUAACUCUGUGCAUCUCCCAGGAACCCAGGGUGGCUCUGGCUGUCUCAUGGGCUGCCUCCAACUGCCAUAGGGCCUCCCCUCCAGGGCCUUGAGGCGGCACAGGGAAUGCUUGGCGGGGCUGGGGCGUGCCCUCUGCCCCUCUUGUCUUCUGGUGAGUCAGGAGCCACAUGCCUUGGGCAGGCUUCCUUUACUUCAGCCCGAGCAGCAUUUAUUCUGUUUCCCCAAAGUUUCUGUGAACUCAGGCCUUUCACUAGGGACCGUCUGUCCUGUUGUGCUGAAGCUUUGGUCUGAGUGUCUGGCCGGGGCUCAGUCACAUCUUCAGGAAAAGGCCAGGUCUCCGGAGGUGGCCCUAAUUAGGGGAGGGACCUCCAGGGAUAGUGAGGCAGGAGGGAAGGUACUGGUGCCUGGCUCAGCCUGUUAGCCCCCGGCCCAGGCCCCCUGAUGUGCCUGCCCAGCCGUAUUCCUAGACAGCGGCCUCUGAGACUUGCUUUUUCUCACCCAUUCCGUGCAGAACUCACUGGACAGGAGGCAGGAGGCAGCCAGUCUAGACCUGAAGCCCUCAGCUGUUCCAGGAGGGGCUUCCCUCACAAAGAGGAAGGGGGCCCUGCUCAGUCGCGGGCUGG